rnacentral:rRNA from 1 species
CACGUAGGCGGCCUGUUAAGUCGGAUGUGAAAGCCCACGGCUCAACCGUGGAACUGCAUCCGAUACUGGCAGGCUCGAGGAUGGUUGGGGUGAGUGGAACUCCAGGUGGAGCGGUGAAAUGCGUAGAUAUCUGGAGGAACACCGGUGGCGAAAGCGGCUCACUGGACCAUCACUGACGCUGAGGCGCGAAAGCGUGGGGAGCGAACA